rnacentral:rRNA from 1 species
ACGGAAGGCAGCAGUGGGGAAUAUUGGGCGAUGGGCGGAAGCCUGACCCAGCAACGCCGCGUGAGGGAAGAAGGUUUUCGGAUUGUAAACCUCUGUCCUUGGUGACGAAGGAAGUGACGGUACCUGAUGAAUAAGCCACGGCUAACUACGUGCCAGCAGCCGCGGUAAUACGUAGGUGGCAAGCGUUAUCCGGAUUUACUGGGUGUAAAGGGCGCGUAGGCGGGGAUGCAAGUCAGAUGUGAAAUCUAUGGGCUUAACCCAUAAACUGCAUUUGAAACUGUAUCUCUUGAGUGUCGGAGAGGUAGAUGGAAUUCCUAGUGUAGCGGUGAAAUGCGUAGAUAUUAGGAGGAACACCAGUGGCGAAGGCGAUCUACUGGACGAUAACUGACGCUGAGGCGCGAAAGCGUGGGGAGCAAACAGGAUUAGAUACCCUGGUA